rnacentral:ncRNA from 2 species
AUCUUCUUCCGCAACUGACGGAAUCAAGGUGGGCGGACCACCGGGGAGCGGAAGAUCAUAUAUCAGUGUCGACCGUCUGGGCAAUGCAC